UACGAAGGGGGCUAGCGUUGCUCGGAAUGACUGGGCGUAAGGGGCGCGUAGGCGGAUUGGUCAGUCAGACGUGAAAUUCCUGGGCUUAACCUGGGGGCUGCGUUUGAGACGGCUGAUCUAGAGUGGGGAAGAGGGUCGUGGAAUUCCCAGUGUAGAGGUGAAAUUCGUAGAUAUUGGGAAGAACACCGGUGGCGAAGGCGGCGACCUGGUCCUUUACUGACGCUGAGGCGCGAAAGCGUGGGGAGCAAACAGG
rnacentral:rRNA from 1 species